UACCAGUCUGGUACUUUUAAUUACUGUGUA
rnacentral:piRNA from 2 species